AUAUCAAUAAGCGGAGGAAAAGAAACCAACAGGGAUUGCCCCAGUAACGGCGAGUGAAGCGGCAAGAGCUCAAAUUUGAAAUCUGGCCUCCCCCGGGGGCCCGAGUUGUAAUUUGCAGAGGAUGCUUCGGGUGCGGCCGCCGUCUAAGUUCCUUGGAACAGGACGUCAGAGAGGGUGAGAAUCCCGUCUUGGGCGGGCGGUCCGCGCCCGUGUGAAGCUCCUUCGACGAGUCGAGUUGUUUGGGAAUGCAGCUCUAAGCGGGUGGUAAAUUUCAUCUAAAGCUAAAUAUUGGCCGGAGACCGAUAGCGCACAAGUAGAGUGAUCGAAAGGUUAAAAGCACCUUGAAAAGGGAGUUAAACAGCACGUGAAAUUGUUGAAAGGGAAGCGCUUGCGGCCAGACUCGGGGGCGGGGUUCAUUCAGCGGGUGCUCGUCGCCCGUGUAUUCCUCGUUUCCCGGGCCAGCAUCAGUUUCGACGGCCGGUCAAAGGCCCCCGGAAUGUGUCGUCUCUCGGGACGUCUUAUAGCCGGGGGUGCAAUGCGGCCCGUCGGGACUGAGGAACGCGCUUCGGCUCGGAUGCUGGCGUAAUGGCCGUAAGCGGC
rnacentral:rRNA from 1 species